rnacentral:tRNA from 1 species
GCCGGAUUCUGUCUAAAGGUAGGACGCUCGCCCGAUUAGCGAGAAGCGGCGGUUCGAUCCCGUCAUCCGGUA